GGGCACGCUCAGAUGUGAGCCAGAGGAACAGGCAAAGGGCCUUAUGAUAGGAGUUUUUUGCUUGGAUGUGUGACUGUUUGCUUUUAAUCAUUUUAAUAUAAGAAAGACUGCAGAAAACAUUCCAAUUCCAAUGUGUGUGACCAUGAAAAGGGGGUGGUGCUUUCCAGGGGUUCUGGUUGGACUGUGGGAGGCCCUACUAGCUUUUGGUCCUGUUGCUAAAGGUGAACCCACAGAAAGUGUCAUCACAGCCGCACUGAAACAAGUUACUCUAGACACUGUCCUGCUGCAGUUACAAAAGCGCUGACUGAACCGUGAGGAAUCUUAGUUCAGCUUAGCCCAUAAUAGUCACUUGCUGAUAUUUUGCCUGAAGAACCCUUGAAUCAUGUUUGCUGGACAAAGUCCAGACUGAACAGUGGUCUCAAUAAUGCACAAAGCUGGGACAGGACCCCCUUUGCUAAGAAUGUCCUUGAAGCUGAAAUGCGUUUUCCUGGGAUCUUUGGUGACAGGGAGGUCACGGGGAGAGAUGAGUGCCGCCCACAUCCCUGUCAAUCCUUCACCGUUGCAGGCUGAGCACAAGGCAGCUUCUGCCCCUUCCACCCUCAGUCUUCUGAGGUCACGUCCCAAACCUGGGCCAGGGAAAGGAGUCACAAGCAAGGGACCGCUAAGUGGGGAGAAGCAGCACAGACCUUCCACAGGCACCCACUCACCGUGAGCCAGGCUCUGUGCUGAGCAUUUCACCUCACGGUGUGACUAGCUUGUUUUACAGAUCAGCAAACUGAGGUCUCCUGAUAAAGUGAAAUCCAGCAACAGGAGGCCACAUAGGUAACGGGGGAGCUAGAAUUUGAACAGGGCCUCUGUACUCAGGGCCUGCACUCUCUCAGCUAACAGCUGGUCCUCUCCUCCCCAACACGGUUGCUCACACACGCACUAACACAUGUAGGAACAUGUGCACACAUCUCCUGCACGCUGCCUGCUUGUGGAAAUCCACACGGGACACCAGAUAGUGUUGGAGGACAGCCCUGUCCAUGGGCCCCUGUGGUGGGGCACAGCAGAUGACUGUCACUGAAUAAUCCAGAGCAGGCACAGAUGCGUGACGCGUGAGCUGCCACCAUGGGCAUCGGCUCCUGCCUGCGCUGGGAUGCUUGCAGCAACCCUCGUCGCCUGUGUGAGAAAGCUCCAUGUGACCGGGAUCUCCAGGGUGCCUGACGUGUAUCAUUAUCCCCCGGUUAUCAUAGUAAAAUAGUACCCUGGGCCUGCUCAGAUUCCUCACUACGCUGGAGACAAUCUCGGAAAUUUUAUUUCAGAGGCAUAGUAUGCACAAUUUGAGAAGUAGAUGCUGAGCUGCUUUUGCAUCUGGAAGUGCUUCUCCUUCCAGUGGGAGCCACUGGCUUGACCACAGUGAGGGCUCUGGCAGUGAGACUGGAGUCUCAGGAGGGAGGCUCAGCUUCCACAGCGUGAUGUAAGCCCCGUCUCGCACACGGAAUGUGCUAAACGGGCUAUGAGGGAAGCCCUUGGUGUUCGCUGUCCUGAGGACCCAGGGAGGUGACAGCGGCUCUGUGUCUGGGCAAGAGAUUUUGCCAAAGGAGAAUGGAGAAAACGACGGAAGCACCCGGGCUGACUGGACUCACCGACGCCCCACAUAAGCACUGUUCCAUCUGCACCUCUUGCAAAUUAUUUAUCAGACCUCCCUCACGGGUAUUUGUGUUGUUGCUGAAGAGCAAAGUCUCUGAAUUCUGUUUCUCUAAAGGAAAUGGAGAUCGCAGUACUUAGCCAUUUGGGGUAUCUCUGAAGACGUUGUGCCAUGGCUGCUACAGAACUUCUCAGACAGCCUCGCGCAACGGACGGCUGCACUGCCAUCUGCGCACACAGAAAACCCAGCCCCUGGAAGUUCCUGCUUCGGCAGGUCAGUGUGUGGUCUGAAGAUGCUGAUCUCGGAAGGAGGGUGAAGCAGGCAGCUUUUGCCCUAGAAGAACACAGCCAUUUGUGGGCGUCGAGGCCUGAGAGCGCCAUUGCGAUCAGCAAGAACGACCACAUGUCAGCCCAGUGGGUGCCCAAGCACACAGCAGACCCCCACCCAUUCUGAAACCCUCCUGGGUGCUGAAGCCCUCCUGGGUGCACCGCCUGGGUGCACAAGCCCUCUCCUGUGCUGGGGCUUGUGCCUCCUCAUCUCCGCUGGGUUCAGCAGAGGGUUACAGAGGGUCCAGAGGGUUGCAGAGGCGGGACCCUGUGUGUACACGUGGUGCUGAGCUGCCAGAGAUCUCAGCACGUCCCUCGUCCCCCGUCCUGUGUGCAGCUGCCAUUAGCCUUCCUGGAGUACACUCCACCCUGCCGCCUCUGGUCAGAGCUCCUGCUGGGGCCCUGUGGCCUGUCAGCUGAGCCCACACUUAAAGGUCCCAUUCAGAGCCCUAGCUAAUGUUUUCUAGCCCAGUGUUCUUCACCUCGUGUCCUCAGUCCCACCAGAUGGUUGAUUUGCUGCUGCCCAGACGGCGCCACCCUUGCUGCUUUUACCUCUCGUGGGCUGUUCCUGCUGCUCAGAACUCCCUUUACUUUCUGUCUGUGCAAACCCUGUUCAUUCUUGAGAGUUCACUGGAAGGACUUCUCUAAAGUCACCCCAGCUCUCUCAGCAAACUCUCCCUUCCCUCUUCCCCAAGGCAUCUACAGGGAUAAAAGCACAGGGCUCAGGGGCUGGGGUUUGGAACAAGACAGACCCGACCACAGCUCGGCGGCUCAGGCUGGCGUAGACGGACCCGACCCCGGCUCAGCGGCUCAGGCUGGCAUAGACGGACCUGACCCCGGCUCGGCGGCUCAGGCUGGCGUAGACGGACCCGACCCCGGCUCGGCGGCUCAGGCUGGCGUAGCUCUGACGUGGCUGUGACGUGGCUCUGAGCAGGUGGUUUCACCUUCAUGGUGUCGGUCCCCCCCACAACCGCCUGCGGUAAACAGUCGUCAUCGUCGUGUGUAGAGGAGGAAGUUUAUCCAUGUGAAAUCCUCUGUGUCCUGCCUGGGACGUACCAGGACCACUGUAAGUGUGACUUGCUGUCUUUCGUAUAUCUUGAGGAUGGGUGUGUUUGUUCCGUUUCCUCACAGAUCUAAAUGUAAGGGCGGCAUUCCCAGGUCACAGCAAAAGUGCAUGUGCUCAGAAUUGCCCUUGGAAACCCCACUCCCACAGCAGGGCAUCCACCCUGUAGAGUGACUCCAGGGCACACAUGGGCAUGAGGCCCUCCAGGCUGGGCAGUAGGAAGGGGCAAAAGCAGUGUCCCCACGCACGCAUCCAGACACUCAGACCCCACGCGCCAGCCUCAGAGCUCCUGCCGGUGCACCCUACUCACCCCCAACGCUGCGUCUCAGCACAGGAUGGAAGAUGCCACAUGGGGGCAGAUCACAGCGAUGUGAGGUCAGCAGUGCAGGACAGGAUGGGGUUGAACUGGGACUCGAGUCCAGCAGAAACGCCUGAACUAAAUGUAGAUAGAGUUGACUCCACUCUGUUUUAAGGAGUAAGAACUCGAAUUGAGUGACCACGUAAAAGCCAGUGGAGGCUCUGUUCCGAAGGGACGCGCAAAGCCAGUGGAAGGCUCUGUUCCGAAGGGACGCGCAAAGCCAGUGCAGGCUCUGUUCCGAAGGGACACGCACUGAGUGAGCACUUUACACUCAAGGGUGUUCAGCCGUGGUUCGAUUCUUGGAGGAACAGCCCUCAGAGAAUCACUUUCAAGAAAGCACGUGUGUUUUCCAGCUCCCGCAGUGCUGUUCUCCCUGAAGCACCUCAUCACUACCUGUAUCUUAAUUAGACGGUCUCUAAACUGGGGCUGUGUGCGAGCCAUUCUGAAAUGAGUUGGUGCCACUGUACAGAAGCAAAGAAGUAUCACAUGCACUCUCAGCACCUGUGUGCUGUGCUGUCAGGAUAUCAGAGGGGUACAUUUCAUAAGAAAUGCGUGUAUUAGUAACCGUCCCUCAAGUGAUAAAAUAAUACUGAAGGUGCUUAGAAAGUACAGGACGAGAUUUUGGUUGCAGUCCGUGGAAUCCACAGUGGCUGGUAUAAGCAGAAAGUUUAUUCACGGACAGUUAUACAAGGAAUCUUCAUGAGGGCCCAGAGACAGGCCAUUCUAGGGCCAUGAAGCCAGGAUGCCCUAGCACGUCGCAGAGGCCCCUCCAGCAAGAACAGCACUGCCAGCUCUGCCUGGCCUCUCAGAGUCUUGUCCCCACCCUGAAGACCCAGGUCCCCAGGUCCCCCACACGGCCUCCUUCCACUUCCUCAGGCACCGUCAUCUUACGUGCAUGCGUCUCUCUGGGGGCCCAGGCCGCGGGGGCGCCCCUCCUGCAGGAGUAGGAAUGCAGGCCUCCUGGGUCCUCCUUGAAAGGACCCCUAACAGGUGGGAAAUGGGCAGAAUCGGGGAAGGCAGCCAGCAGCAAUCAUGAGCGUUCCUUACGAAUCAUGUUGUAACAUCUGAAGUCAUAGAACACAAAGCUAAUCACGCGUGGAAUAAGACUGAUUUCGUUUCCCUGAGAUGAAAGUUUCUACUCUAUGUGCUUGGAAAUACAAGGGAGGCUCGGUAUUUUCUGCAAUCUUGAAUGCGAUCUCCAGACCAAGGAGGAUUUGUGUUUCAUCAGCACUGAAGGUUGGAGAUGAGGUAUGCAUCGCAUUGAUGCUGGGUCCCGGGGAGAAAGCUAGGAAAUGUCCCCAGCAGGUAGGGAAACGCUUGGCAAAGCAUGAAGGCAGAGGGACCCACGUACCUGGGCCCAUUCUGCUCAUGCCCUGGCACUGCUCCGAGAACUGUGGUUUUCCAGAUCAGCCCUAGCAAGGAGGGAGCACAGGCAGAGCCGCUCCGUGGGGAAGGCAGAUGUCAAGCUCCUAAGAACGACCUGUUCCACAAGAAGCUGACGUGCCCCUCCCCAGGGACCCGAGCUGAAAGGCCAUUCUUCCAGGGCAGCGUCCCAGGGCGCUGCUUUGUGUGGUUGGCAACCCUGGCAGAUGAUGGCCUGCUCUGCGUGCUGUCCCCGCUGUUCCUGCUGGGCUGUCUGCAGUGUGUCCUGAUCACCCUCUCAGCUGGCAGUGUGCACUGCAGUGUGAAUCUUCCCAUGGAAAGCAGACCAGUCCUGCCUCCACCGGUGCCGUCGCCAAAUCAGUAACAGAGCAACCUCAAACGUUUCUGAAUGUUUAGGUCAUCUAAUACUUGGCAAAAGAAUGGGCUGAACACCUCCGCCCUCAGCUUUCUGUGCUGUGUGUGCGUGAGUGUGUAUAGCAGAGUCUGAGAAACAGCCACUUUUCUGAGUUUGGGAAAAUUUAAACGAGCACUGAAAAGCAAACACUAAUUGAAAAGGAAAUAUUUUCCAUUUUCAUUCUAAAGAGUGGAAAUAGAAAAAAAUGAUUUUACUAAAACAAAAUAUGCAGACACCUUUGGGAAAACGUGCUGUAAAGGAAGCAUGCUAACUCCAGAGAUGACCCAGCCGGACAGAGGUGAAAGGGGUGUACGGACAGCAAGGUUCUAGAUGAUUCCACACAGUUGGGCUGAGACCACUGACACUGCACCUCCUCUUUGUGUUUAAAAUUUUGUGUUGAAUGUAGGUGCCUCUAAAAUAUGCGAGCUAGAAAUAGGAAACUCACUCACCACACCAGCAGCUGCCAUUUCACACGAGAAGAUACACUGGCGAAUACAAGGAUGGCCCAGAUGCCCUCACUUUGUGUUAGGGCUCCAAGGAGCAGACUUUCUAUUUUAAUAUUUCAAAACAUAUUCUACUUUUGAAUAGCAAUCCUUGCUCUUUCCAAGAAGUUCAGAGCAUAAUUCCGGGCACUGAGCAAAGGGUCAUCUAUUCAGUUUGUGUGCUGUUCACAUUACAGCUAGAAACCCUGGCUCCAGUGACAGAGUCGUACUUGGGAUUUAAUGCCUGCAUAUAGGGGAGGAUCCAUCUCUCACCUAGGCCUCAUCCUGCAGGCGGGACUGUCAUAGCCACGUCCCCUGCCAGCUGUCAGCGCAGCCUCCAGCCAGGUGACAGCCGUGUUUAAGACUCACAUGCCUGCUCUGAGCGUUUCCACCGUCCCUUCACCUUCAUCACACAGAGCCUCCCGUAGAGCACUGGGACCUCCACACGAAAAGGGGGCUGGGGGUUAGGAGGAGAGAGAGUGGGGCCCGUGGGAAUUUCCACUUCGGAAAGAAAUCUGUGUUGUAAGCGAGAUGGAGACAUUUGUGUGCCACAGGAGUUCCUCACAUAAUCGAAAUUAAGGAAGGGCAGAAGCAAUCGAUCUUCAAACAGACGAAGCGUUAUAUUCAUACUUCUUAAAAUUACUUCACUGCAACUUAGAUUCCACCUCCUCAGACUCUCUUGACUUGGGCCUUAGAGGGUCCUCACUGGGACUUGGGACUCAGAGGCUCCUCACUGGGACUGGGAAGGGAGCUGUGGUGCGCAGGUGCAAGUCCAGCAGCCGAGCACAGAUGAGGGGCCUGUGCUUGGCGUUGGGGCAGCUGAGUGCAGGGUGGUUCUGCAGUGUCUGUGGCCAGUCCCAGGCCUCGGUGUUCUGGACCAAAGGUCAGAGCCCACAGUGAUCAGGCAGGAGAAAGCCUCCACCGCUGCAGGAGUGGUGGGAAGUCUGGGAUAAACCAGCCGCCCCAGGCAGGACGAAGGGGGAUGGGAUGCAGGACCAGUCAAUGUUAUGGCUGAGAGGACCUCAGCAAGAACCAAGGUCACCUCUGACCGAGUUCCCAGAGGGCAGGGACCCAGGGCAGGGUGGGGAGACGCUGAGGUGGAAGAAGGGAAGGAAGGGUCAGGGAAGCACUGUGAAGCUGGGAAAGACUUGAGCAUGUUUUACAGAGGGGCAUGACCCCAGGCUCCAGGAGGGAUGCGGGCACCUUGACCGUCUCAACCAGGAGGGUCGUUUUACACACACAGCCACGUACCAGAAUCCCUCAGGUUGUACAGUCUGAAGACAUGCAGCUUCCUGUGCAUCAGCCAUAGCUCAACAGAGACAUUCAAAUAGAGAAAGAAGAGACUCACCUCUGGCUGCCACCCUGAGCCGGGGAGUGUGCUGGCUCCGGUCAGGGAAAGAGUGGGGAGAGCGUCCCCCAGCCCCUGCCACCCUGUCAGGCCUCAUCAUCCUGAUGUGACACCAAAGUGCAAGGAAAAAGGAAAUGCAGGUAAAGGAGGUUUCACCAAAACUAAAAACUGUUGUGCUUUAAAGGAUACCAUA